rnacentral:rRNA from 1 species
GAGGAAGUAAAAGUCGUAACAAGGUUUCCGUAGGUGAACCUGCGGAAGGAUCAUUAUUGAAUAGUAUUGGGCGCUGUGCUGGCCUCUCGGGGCAUGUGCACGCGUUCAACAUCUACUUCUAUCUAUCUCUUGUGAACCUAGUGUGGAUCUUGAACCCUGUCGGCAAAGGCCUUUGGAGCAGCAAUGCUUCGUUGGCUGGAGCCUUCGGGGAUCUUGAACCAUUUUUAUAAACCUUUAUUUGAAUCUAUUAGAAUGUCUUCUUUACUUGACGCAAGUCAGUAAAAAACCUAUACAACUUUCAGCAACGGAUCUCUUGGCUCUCCCAUCGAUGAAGAACGCAGCGAAAUGCGAUAAGUAAUGUGAAUUGCAGAAUUCAGUGAAUCAUCGAAUCUUUGAACGCACCUUGCGCCCUUUGGUAUUCCGAAGGGCAUGCUUGUUUGAGUGUCAUUAAAUUCUCAACCUUGACAAAACUUGUUUUUGUUUCAAGGCUUGGAUGUGAGGGGUUUUGCUGGCUUCCUUCAGUGGCGGUCUGCUCCCUUUAAAUGCAUUAGUGGAGUCCUUUUGUGGACAGGUUCACUUGGUAUGAUAAUUAUCUAUGCCUUGUAAAGCCUUGAAGCAAAAACCUAUGGACGUUCCGCUUAUAACCGUCGCAAGACAA